UACAGAGGUCCCGAGCGUUGUUCGGAUUCAUUGGGCGUAAAGCGCGCGCAGGCGGUCCUUCCAGUCAGAGGUGAAAGCCCAGAGCUCAACUCUGGAACUGCCUUUGAAACUAGAGGACUUGGGUACGGGAGAGGUGAGUGGAAUUCCGAGUGUAGAGGUGAAAUUCGUAGAUAUUCGGAAGAACACCAGUGGCGAAGGCGGCUCACUGGCCCGUUACCGACGCUCAGGCGCGACAGCGUGGGGAGCAAACAGG
rnacentral:rRNA from 1 species